GACGAACGCUGGCGGCGUGCCUAAUACAUGCAAGUAGAACGAGUUGCGAACGGGUGAGUAAUGUCUGGGAAACUGCCCGAUGGAGGGGGAUAACUACUGGAAACGGUAGCUAAUACCGCAUACCAUCGGAUGUGCCCAGAUGGGAUUAGCUAGUAGGUGGGGUAACGCCUCACCUAGUAGACGUGCCCUAGCUGGUCUGAGAGGAUGACCAUCAACACGGGAACUGAGCAACGGUCCAGACUCCUACGGGAGGCAGCAGUGGGGAAUAUUGCACAAUGGGCGCAAGCCUGAUGCAGCCAUGCCGCGUGUAUGAAGAAGGCCUUCGGGUUGUAAAGUACUUUCAUCGAGGAGGCGUUACUCGCAGAGGAAGCACCGGCUAACUCCGUGCCAGCAGCCGCGGUAAUUC
rnacentral:rRNA from 1 species